rnacentral:rRNA from 1 species
UCAGCCGCCGCGGUAAUACCAGCACCUCGAGUGGUCAGGACGUUUAUUGGGCCUAAAGCAUCCGUAGCCGGCUUUGCAAGUCUUCGGUUAAAUCCACCUGCUCAACAGAUGGGCUGCUGGAGAUACUACAAAGCUAGGGAGUGGGAGAGGCAGACGGUAUUCAGUGGGUAGGGGUAAAAUCCUCUGAUCCAUUGAGGACCACCAGUGGCGAAGGCGGUCUGCCAGAACACGUUCGACGGUGAGGGAUGAAAGCUGGGGGAGCAAACCGGAUUAGAUACCCGGGUAGUCCCAGCUGUAAACGAUGCAAACUCGGUGAUGCAUUGGCUUAUGGCCAAUGCAGUGCCGCAGGGAAGCCGUUAAGUUUGCCGCCUGGGAAGUACGGACGC